UACGUAGGUGGCAAGCGUUGUCCGGAUUUAUUGGGGUUAAAGGGUGCGUAGGCGGCCCUGUAAGUCAGUGCUGAAAUAUCCCGGCUUAACCGGGAGGGUGGCAUUGAUACUGCAGGGCUUGAGUGAAGUCGAGGUAGGCGGAAUUGACGGUGUAGCGGUGAAAUGCUUAGAUAUCGUCAAGAACACCGAUAGUGAAGACAGCUUACUAGGCUUAUACUGACGCUGAGGCACGAAAGUGUGGGGAUCAAACAGG
rnacentral:rRNA from 1 species